AUACAGUCUAUGCUAACAACCGACAACAGUUUGCUCCAAAAGAUGGCAGAAAUAGCCGGAUCGACAUCCAGAGAGGAAAUCCUGAAGGAAAGUCCCAAUGUGUGGAUAAUAGGGAGCAGCUACGUUAGACGUGGGGAAGAAAGAGCCAGACACACCAUGGGAAGCAACCUGGGUC